rnacentral:rRNA from 1 species
UGCAGUCUACUUGAGUCUUCGGGCUUGGGUGGCGGACGGGUGAGUAACGCGUAAAGAGCUUGCCUCACAGACAGGGACAACAUUUGGAAACGGAUGCUAAUACCUGAUAUUAUGAACUAUGCGCAUGCAUAGAUUAUGAAAGCUAAAUGCACUGUGAGAGAGCUUUGCGUCCCAUUAGCUAGUUGGAGAGGUAACGGCUCACCAAGGCGAUGAUGGGUAGCCGGCCUGAGAGGGUGAACGGCCACAAGGGGACUGAGACACGGCCCUUACUCCUACGGGAGGCAGCAGUGGGGAAUAUUGGACAAUGGACCGAGAGUCUGAUCCAGCAAUUCUGUGUGCACGAUGAAGUUUUUCGGAAUGUAAAGUGCUUUCAGUUGGGAAGAAGAAAGUGACGGUACCAACAGAAGAAGCGACGGCUAAAUACGUGCCAGCAGCCGCGGUAAUACGUAUGUCGCAAGCGUUAUCCGGAUUUAUUGGGCGUAAAGCGCGUCUAGGCGGUUUAUUAAGUCUGAUGUGAAAAUGCGGGGCUCAACUCCGUAUUGCGUUGGAAACUGGUAGACUGGAGUACUGGAGAGGUAAGCGGAACUACAAGUGUAGAGGUGAAAUUCGUAGAUAUUUGUAGGAAUGCCGAUGGGGAAGCCAGCUUACUGGACAGAUACUGACGCUGAAGCGCGAAAGCGUGGGUAGCAAACAGGAUUAGAUACCCUGGUAGUCCACGCUGUAAACGAUGAUUACUAGGUGGUGGGGGUCGAACC